GACCGUGGGUGUCGAGAGGUUUUCCGACCACCACGGGUUGUUUCACGGCAAAUGGAAGGUAUAAACGCACUCCUUUGGUCUCGUGCUUUUGUUUGAUACCUAGAUCGGGGUCUAGAACCCUUGUUUGUGGUCGGCCGGAGCUGUAGAAGCUCCGGCGUUCUUCUCCGAGUAGCACGGUUAAAAAAAUAUCGCGAUAUUUCCAAAAUAUCGCGAUAUUAUCGAUAUUAUCGAUAAUAUCGCGAUAUUUUACCGAAAACCAUUUGGAUACCUAUUUAAAUAUCCAUUACCUGAAAAACCGAUAAUAUCGGCGAUAUUUCGCCGAUAUUAUCGAUAUUUUCUUCCAUGUUAGUGACAACGUAAUUUGAUAAUGACUUUCUUGUUUGAACUUUGACGGCUGAGACAAAAAGAUGAGUUCGGGUUAAUGACGUGUUAAUGUAUCUUUGUGUUUAUAUUUGGUUAUCUCUAAUAUAAAUUCUAAUUUAUUUGUGUUUAUCGAUGACAACUGUCGUUUGUUUGAGGGCGAAAUAAUAACUUACUAACAUUCCUUUGAUAAUAUUAGGUACAGCAUGAAUAAGGUGGCCUCACUUUAGAAGAAAACUGCAUGGAACAAAACUUCGGAAUUGGAAAAGAGUUCAAUACAUGGCAAAAACAGUCAACCAUUAUCUGGAGAAAGGCAUCAUGUAUAGGAUCAAUAGGAAAGUAAAGCCGAUAGUGAGGGCAAACUUGGCAAGAUGAGAAACUCCAUUACAAGGCCUAGAGGUGUGACUGAUGCUUGGGGUAGGCAAAAAUCCGCUAAAUCGAUGAACCGCGAAAAAAAAAAACUCGGAAAAAAAAUCAUGUUGAUAAAGAAAGUCAAUGUUAAAAAAUCAAACUGAAUCGAACCGGAAGACUAGUUAAACCAAAUUAAUCUAUUAUCCUGUUUUCUUUUGAAGAGAUUUCCCUUCAUAAGAAAUAAUGGACAUAUUAAACGAAUGUUUCAAAGGGAGUUGCAAAUAGUAAUUGAGCAAUAGUUAAUUAAAAGAAAAUUAUAUCGGAGAAGAUUGAGAAAGUAUUGGAGAAAUAGUUAAAAGAAAAAAGUAAUUGAACAAUAGUCAAAAGAGAACUGGUACUCUCCUUCUUCUCCGUCUCCGUCUCUGUCUCUCUCUGAGCAAUGGCAUUCUCCUCAGUACUCUAUGCAGUCACAAGAAGGAGCAACUUAGCAGAAAAUUAUUCAAUCCAAUUACUAAAAAUAAAGAGAAGUGCAUGAAGUAAAAAAAGAGCACGGUAGUCAUUUCAUCUCCUUAAUUUGUCCAAGGUAUAGAUUUAUGUGUAGACGCUAAGCCAGCUAAGGCAAAUCUUCGGCUCCCCCACCAUUUGGUUGAGGAGCCAUUGAGAACAUGAUUCAAUUUGGCCAUGGGAGUCAAUGUGUUCAUUUGUUCUAAUAAUUGCAUCAUCUGUUAUAUACUAAAAAUGCUAGUCAACUUGGUUAAGUUUGAAUCUGCUAGUGCAGUUCAUCAAUGUGAUUCAUCUAGAAUCAACCUUACGAAAAAGUAAUUGAGUUCUAAAGCGUGUUUCAUAACCCUACAUUUAGAUGAAGAAAUUGCAAAUUAUGAAAAUUUUAAGAUGACGGAAUAUAGAUCCUCAUUAAUCGAAUACUCUGUCAAUAGAAAAUCCUACUGUUUGGAGAUUAUGUAUGUUGAAUUUUCAAAAGUAAUUUAUUUUGUAACUGAAUGCAGGCUAGAGGGAAAGGUGACACUAAUUACUGGAGAGGAGCCAGCAGCAUUGGAAAAUGCACAGCCAAAAUCUUUGUCCAGCACGAGCCUAAGUCGUCAUUGCAGAUGUCCACGAUGAUCUGGGCCAUUCAGUCCGCGAAUCCAUCAGCCCAUCGGACUGUAUGUUCGUCCACUGUGAUGGCACAGAGCCUAAAUAAAAAACGUCGUACACAAAGCACUUGCCACAUACGGAAAGCUAGUCAUCAUGUUCAACAACACAGACAUAGUUGACCUGAACAAAGUGCAAAUCAUCGACAAUGACAAGGGGAUUUCGAGCGCGUGCUUAGCAUCAAUGUCACCGGAGUUUUCCUCAGCAUAUUUUCAACUUCUAGCAUAAGCUUGUUGUUGCGAGUUAUAUAUUAGUUAGAGUGUAAAUAGUAGUUUAUUGUCCCACAUUGGUGAAGUACAUAUGUAAUACCAAUUGUAACUCCUAUAUAUACUCCACUUUGGAGAUUAAUGAAUAUAUAAGAAAUUCCCAAAUAUUGUCAUAUAUAUUUUUGGUAUUUACCAUGUUUAGUUUAAUAUUGGUAUUUACCAUGUUUAGUUUAAUAUGGCAUCAGAGCAGUUCGCUCUUGGUGACCUGUGUGCUUUAAUUUUGUGCCCACAUUUUUUGUGAUUUCCUUCGUAAAAAAAAAAAAAAAGUGAAUAGUGGCGCGCUACAAUACAGUGCGUGAACAGUAGUCUGCUUUGUGAACAGUGGUCCUCUACAGUGCCGCCACUGAUCAUGUGACUAGUGACCCUAGAGUGUUUGAUGAGUUAUGUGACUAUAUUCGUGAUCCGUAUGUUACUAGUGCAAAUGGAGGGGUGAAGACACUAUCUCUCUGACUCCAACCUUAUCAUUGGUCCGUACUUUACUUGUUCCUGAUCUUAAGUGCAAUCUUUUGUCGGUAGGAAAACUUAUUGAUACCUUAUAUUGUUCUGCUCACUUCUACCUUACGUAUUGUUAUUUUCAAGAUAUUCAAACUUAAAAGAUAAUUGGUCAUGGUAAAAGAAUAGGAGGUUUGUACAUUUUGAUUAUGGAGGAUACUGUUGUUUCUGGUUCGAAUAAUCAUCAAGUUUUAAGUGCUAAAGUGGAUGACAGAUAUCAAAUUUGGUUGUAGCAUCGACGAUUGAGACAUCCAUCAUUCAGUUAUAUGAAACAUCUAUUUCCUUCUUUGUUUCGCACUUGUAGUGAUUCAGAGUUCAAGUGUGAAACAUGUGUCAUGGCUAAGAGUCAUCGUGCUUCAUUUCCAGUAAGUGAUUCUAAAGCUACUUUGCCAUUUGAUUUGAUACAUUCUGAUGUGCAGGGUCCAACGAAAGUUACUUCUAAUGGAUUCUGUUGGUUUGUUACUUUUAUUGAUGAUUGUACUCGGUUAACUUGGGUGUUCUUGAUGAAGAAUAAGAGUGAUAUUCCGUUACUUCUUCAAGAAUUUUGUACAAUGGUGUCUACUCAGUUUCAGACCAAAGUUAAGGUCUUUAGGUCUGAUAACGAGGAAGAAUAUGUGAAUCAUACUUUGGCAUGUUUUUUUCGUGAUCAUGGUAUUAUUCACCAGACGACUACUCCGUUUACACCCUAACAAAAUGGUGUGUCCGAACAGAAGAAUCGUUAAAUAAUGGAAGUUGCUCGCUCCUUGAUGUUGGAUAAAUGUGUUCUUAAUCAUUUAUGGGGUCAUGCUGUUUUGGCUGCUGUGUAUUUGAUCAAUCGUGUUCCAAGUAGUGUUCUUGAUUUUCAGACACCGUUCGAUAUGCUACAAAAACAUGUUUCUCUUGUUUCUGUAUCAAAACUUCCUCCGAAAAUGUUUGGGUGUAUUGCGUAUGUGUAUGUCUACUCUCAUCAGCGGAGUAAACUUGAUGCAUGUGCUCUCCGGUGUGUCUUUAUUGGAUAUGCUAACAAUCAGAAAGGCUAUAAGUGUUAUCAUCCUCUGACUCAAAAACAUAUAUUACCAUAGAUGUCACCUUCCAUGGGGAAGUUUCGUAUUUUGUGAAGCCCUCUUCCGACUCUCCACUUCAGGAGGAGAGAGGGAGUGAAGUGCAGAUUCGAAGAGAUGGUAUGGAUGAUGUGUUUCAGGUAGAGUUAGGAGCAUAACAUAUUAUGUUGCAUGAUAUUGGUCAAUCGACUACAGAUAGUGAUCAGUCACCUGUUAUUCCUAAAACUAUUUCUACUGAUGAUAAAUCAGAUGUGCCCGACGAGUUGCCUGUUAAUAUGUCUGACGAAUUACCUUCUAAUGAUCGGUUGCCUACUGCUGAUAUGUCUAACGAGUUGCCUGAUGAUGAUUCGUCCAGUGAUGAUUCUUCUAACAGUUUGGUACAAGAUGGUGGCAUACAUGAGGUAAAUUCUGACGAUUCUUCUACUUAUCAGUUGCCUCCACGAGCUAAUCGUGGAAAACCUAAAGUACAAUAUGAGCCUGAUAUGCAUGUCAAAGCCAAAUAUCCUAUCAACAAUUAUGUGUCUACUUAUCGUUUAUCCAAACCAUAUGCAUCUUACAUAUGUCAACUAUCUAGUGUAUCAAUUCCAACAAAAUUGCAAGAUGCUUUGUCUGACCCUAAGUGGGUUAAUGCCAUGCAAGUUGAGAUGGAAGCUUUGGAAAAGAAUUCUACCUAGGAUUUGGUUCCUUUACCAAACAGAAAAAAAGCCGUUAGAUGUAGAUGGGUGUUUACUAUUAAGCACAAAGCAGAUGAUUCUAUUGACCGGUAUAAAGCUAGAUUAGUUGCUAAGGGUUAUACUCAAACCUAUGGGGUGGACUAUCAGGAGACAUUUGCUCCUGUUGCCAAACUUAAUAUUGUGCGUGUUCUUCUGUCCUUAACAGCAAACCAAGAUUGGCCUCUGUUGCAGCUUGAUGUUAAGAAUGCUUUCCUUCAUGGUGAUCUUAAGGAGGAAGUGUAUAUGGAUCUCCCAUUUGGUAUUGGAAUAUCUCUUGGAAAAUGUGUUGUAUGCAGGUUACGAAAUGCCUUGUAUGGUUUGAAACAAUCUCCUAGAGCGUGGUUUGGGAGGUUUACAAGUUUAAUGAAGAAGUUUGAGUAUAUCCAGAGUCAUUCAGAUCAUACUUUGUUUCUAAAGCGACAAAAUGGUAAGCUAACUGCAUUGAUUAUUUAUGUUAAUGACAUGAUAGUGACUGUUGAUGAUCAGAAAGAGAUACAACGUCUUCAAAAGUACCUAGCUACUGAGUUUGAAUGAAAGAAUUGGGUGAAUUGAAGUAUUUUCUUGGAAUCGAGGUUGCACGAUCCAAGCAUGGUAUUUUUCUGUCUCAACGGAAAUAUGUUCUUGAUUUAUUAGCUGAAACAAGUAUGUUAGAUUGCAAACCCGUUGAUACUCCGAUUGAGCAGAAUCAUCGUCUGGGCUUAUUUCCAGAUCAAGUUCCUACUCAUAAGGAACGGUAUCAGAGGCUUGUGGGGAGAUUAAUUUAUUCGUCUCACACUCGUCCUAACAUUGCUUAUGCAGUUAGUGUGGUAAGUCAGUUUAUGCACUCACCUAGUGAAGCUCAUAUGGGUGCAGUAACCCGUAUUUUGAGGUACUUGAAGAUGACUCCUGGUAGAGGCCUGUUUUUCUCCAAGAAUGGUCAUUUGAAUGUCGAAGGGUAUACAAAUGCAUAUUGGGCAGGUUCUAUCACUGAUCGACGAUCUACAUCUAGAUACUUUACAUUUGUGGGUGGUAAUUUAGUUACUUGGAGAAGCAAGAAACAAAAAGUGGUGGCUAGGUCAAGUGCAGAAGCUGAGUUUCGUGGUAUGUCACAUGGUGUAUGUGAGUUGUUGUGGUUGAAAAAAUUGUUGAGAGAUCUUGGGUUUAACCCCAAAGGUGCUAUGAAACUUCAUUGUGAUAACAAUGCUGCUAUUGAGAUUGCUCAUAAUCCAGUGCAACAUGAUUGAACAAAACAUGUGGAGAUUGAUCGACAUUUCAUUAAGGAAAAAUUGGAUGCUUAAAUUAUUAUGUUUCCGUUUGUGAGAUCUUAAGAUCAACUUGCUGAUGCUCUUACUAAGGUUGCGUCUAAUAGUGUGUUUUCCAACUCGCUUGACAAGUUGGGCAUGCGUGACAUCUUUGCACCAACUUGAGGGGGAGUGUUGCGAGUUAUAUAUUAAUUAGAGUGUAAAUAGUAGUUUAUUGUCCCACAUUGGUGAAGUACAUAUGUAAUACCAAUUGUAACUCCUAUAUAUACUCCACUUUGGAGAUUAAUGAAUAUAUAAGAAAUUCUCAAAUAUUGUCAUAUAUAUUUUUGGUAUUUACCAUGUUUAGUUUAAUACUUGUAUGUUGGUGGUGCUGUCUCACAUGCAUUUUGUUGUUCCAAGCAUGCAGUGAAUGGCCUGACGAAAAAUGCAGCCUUUGAGUUAGGUCGGUUUGGGAUCUGAAUGAACUGCUUGUCACCAUACGCAUUCGCGUUUCCUUUGGCUCGGAGUUUCGUGGGGCUUGAGGAUAAGGAGAUCGAGAAUGUGAUGGACUAUCUAGCCAACUUGAAGUUUGUGACACUUAAGGCAGUUAAUGUGGCAAAUGCAGCUCUAUAUUUGGCAAGUGUUAAAGCUAGGCACAUCAGUGGGCAUAAUCUCUUGAUAGAUGGGGAUUUUAGCAUCCUUAAUCCCUCUUUCAAAAUGUUUCAGUACCCUCCAGAGUCUUGAUCUAUUUAGCUACUACAUAUUUUUUUUUCUUUUUACAUGUUUGAGUUUGAGUUCAUUAAUAAUUUGUUACAAGUUCAUUCUAAAAAUUGCCCAGUUUUUAGGUACCCCUAUUGGAGUAGAAAUUUUCGGGUUUUCCAUUAAGCAAUCUUAUAAUUUUAUGUUUUAGAAGGUUGGACAUCACCAUACCCAGUGGCGAAGCCAGGAAUUGACGGGGGGAGGGGCGAAGAUUUUCGGGUCCUUUCUUCCAAUUUGUAAACCUUUUCUCAGUGAAGACAUUACUUCCAGUGCUACCCAUUUGAACGAAAUCACAUUUAAAGGAGGAGGAUGACUACUUGGAAUAUUUGAAGGAGAAGGACUACCUAAAAGAUUUAGCAUUGUUUCUUAUAGUAUCGUUUCAUUACGUAAUUGUAAAAUAGAAAGAAAAAAAAUUCUUAGACUCUUAAUCCUAGAGUAGACUAUACUAAUAUGCAUAAUAACUAAUUUAACCAACUAUUCAAUUAAUCAAUACCAAUAGGCAUACAAAUUAUUCAAUAAAUAAAAAUUCAAUUCAACUAAUCAUAUGAAUAAUUGUAUACAUUAUGUAAUAAUUCAAUUAAUUAAUCAAUAAUCAAGAAUUCAAAUUUUAAUUUUUACCCUAAAAAAUAAUUUCAUAAUUUCAUAUCAAUAAUCAAUAACCAAUAACCAUAUCAAUGAUUCUUUUAUACCAAUUAAACAAAAUCCGUUUUAAAUAAUUAAUUAGGAUUAGGGAUUAUAAAUUUGGGAAUUAAAAAAUUUACCUAAAUAGUGGCUUUGAAGGCUAGAAGACGGCCGUUGGAGACUGGAGAGUGGCUGCUGUGGCUAGCGGCUGGCGCGGCAGCUAAAGGCUGAAGGGAACUGGGAUCCGUUUGCUGCUGGGAAUUGGGGGGCUUUGCUCUAAUAAUCUGAUUGGAGGUUGAAAAGGACGCAGAUGAUAGAGAGAGAGUGAAGGGGAACGCAGAAGGGGACACGCGGUCCCUCCCUUUAUAUGUUUUUUUUUU
rnacentral:lncRNA from 1 species